rnacentral:rRNA from 1 species
UCCUACGGGGGGCAGCAGUGGGGAAUAUUGCACAAUGGGGGAAACCCUGAUGCAGCAACGCCGCGUGAGUGAAGGAGUAUUUCGGUAUGUAAAGCUCUAUCAGCAGGGAAGAGAAUGACGGUACCUGACUAAGAAGCCCCGGCUAACUACGUGCCAGCAGCCGCGGUAAUACGUAUGGUGCAAGCGUUAUCCGGAUUUACUGGGGGUAAAGGGAGCGCAGGCGGUGCGGCAAGUCUGAUGUGAAAGCCCGGGGCUCAACCCCGGGCCUGCAUUGGAAACUACCGAACUAGAGUGUCG